UACAGAGGGUGCAAGCGUUGUUCGGAAUUAUUGGGCGUAAAGGGCGCGUAGGCGGUUCGGCAAGUCUCUAGUGAAAUCUCUGGGCUCAACCCAGAGCCUGCUGGGGAAACUGCCGGGCUGGAGUAUGGGAGAGGUGAGUGGAAUUCCGAGUGUAGAGGUGAAAUUCGUAGAUAUUCGGAAGAACACCAGUGGCGAAGGCGACUCACUGGCCCAUUACUGACGCUGAGGCGCGAAAGCGUGGGGAGCAAACAGG
rnacentral:rRNA from 1 species